GGGCAUGUACGGAGGAGAAGUCCUGAUGCCCUGGUGAGGAGUUGUGAGCGGCUGGCGAUAGUCGGCGUACGACGAGGAAGAGGGAGGCCUAAGAGGUAUUGGGGAAAGGUGAUUAGGUAUGACAUGGCUAGAAUGCGGGUUUCCGAUGACAUGACCCUUGAUAGGAAAGUCUGGAGGUCUAGUAUCAGGGUUGUAGGAUAGGG
rnacentral:lncRNA from 1 species